GCCGCGGUAGCCCAGUGGUUAGAGUACUGGCCUCGUAAGCAGAGGGACCCGGGUUCGAAUCCCGUCCGCGGCA